rnacentral:rRNA from 1 species
GAUGAACGCUGGCGGCGUGCCUAAUACAUGCCAGUCGAGCGAACGGACGAGAAGCUUGCUUCUCUGAUGUUAGCGGCGGACGGGUGAGUAACACGUGGAUAACCUACCUAUAAGACUGGGAUAACUUCGGGAAACCGGAGCUAACACCGGAUAAUAUUUUGAACCGCAUGAUUCAAAAGUGAAAGACGGUCUUGCUGUCACUUAUAGAUGGAUCCGCGCUGCAUUAGCUAGUUGGUAAGGUAACGGCUUACCAAGGCAACGAUGCAUAGCCGACCUGAGAGGGUGAUCGGCCACACUGGAACUGAGACACGGUCCAGACUCCUACGGGAGGCAGCAGUAGGGAAUCUUCCGCAAUGGGCGAAAGCCUGACGGAGCAACGCCGCGUGAGUGAUGAAGGUCUUCGGAUCGUAAAACUCUGUUAUUAGGGAAGAACAUAUGUGUAAGUAACUGUGCACAUCUUGACGGUACCUAAUCAGAAAGCCACGGCUAACUACGUG